ensembl:lncRNA
CAGCAUCAAAAGUAGCCCAGUGCCUGCUUAGGGAAAUAGUUCCCAGAUUUGGACUUCUACCAGCAUUGGUUCAGACAAUGACCCGGCUUUUGUAGCUGAUUUAGUACAACAAGUAAGCAAAACUUUAAACAUCAAACGGAAACUGCGCACUGCAUAUAGGCCCAGAGUUCUGAGAUGGUGGAGUGAACCAACCGGACAUUAGAGAGACUCUCCAAGCGGAUCAUAGAGACUGACUGCUCCUGGGUGGACUUGCUUCCGACGGCUCUGCUCAGACUCAGGAUGACCCCACAGUCCCAGGGCUAUUCUCCAUGUGAAAUUGUGAAUGGGAGGCCCCCCUCCCAUAAUAAAACAGAUUUAUGAGUUUACUCUUGGUGACCAAGUACGGUCAAAGAUUGGAAGCAUGAUUCGCUAGCCCUUUGGUGAAAGGGCCCUUAUGUUAUUCUAACUACCCCUACUGCAGUUAAAGUUGCAGGUAUUGUCCCUUGGAUCCAUCAUACGAGGGUGAAGAGAACAUACCAUGCAGACCCAAAAAAUGCUGAGUGGACAGCACCGAGGGACCCUGCUGACCCUCGAGGGACUAAGACCAUCCUUAAGAAGAAGGAAAAGAAGAUCCUGGACGAGCCCCUUCAGGAUGAAGCCGCACAAUCAACUCCUGCUGCUUGGCCUCAUCAACAUGAUUUUGAAUUGAACUUCUGUUUCAACUCAGGACAAUGUUUUCAUCUCAUGGGCACAUUCCUACGCAGACUUCCACAACACUUCCAAGUGCUGGGUAUGUAGGGCUAUGCCUCUCUCAGUCAUGGAUGGACUUCCUUGGUGGGUGUCACCGCUCUGACAAGGAGAUUUUAAACCACUCUGCUCUUUCUGGGAUGACAAGAAUAGACUUUCCUCUCUUGUCAAUCAUAACCUCUCCUUGCUCUCUUGGUGUAAGACCUAUAGUCAAUAGACUUGGGUCAUGGGGUUACAUUUGAUAUAAAUGCCAGUGUAAAAAAAAGCCUAACCUACUUGUUGUAAAUCUACCCCAGUAACCCCAGUAAAUCUACUUUAUUUACAUGCUAGGUGGACAAGAUCCGUGUUUCAAUGAUAUGAGUAUCAGAUCAGUUCAGUCACUCAGUCAUGUCCGACUCUUUGCGACCCCAUGAAUCGCAGCACACCAGGCCUCCCUGUCCAUCACCAACUCCCAAAGUUCACUCAGACUCAUGUCCAUCAAGUCAGUGAUGCCAUCUAGCCAUCUCAUCCUCUGUCAUCCCCUUCUCCUCCUGCUCCCAAUCCCUCCCAGCAUCAGAGUCUUUUCCAAUGAGUCAACUCUUUGCAUGAGGUGGCCAAAGUACUGGAG